rnacentral:lncRNA from 1 species
GAGUUUGUACUGAUGUGCUCAAUGCACAACUGUCCAUUCUGUACUCUUUCUUUAACAACCCGAAAUUUGACGUCGAUAUGUUUUGCUUUCGUCAAACUACUGUUUUUAUUAGCAUAAAGGACUGCCGAUCUGUUGUUGCAUAAUAGCCUAAUUGGCUUUUUAAUGCUAUCAACAAUCCGCAGUCCACAAACAAAAUUCCGCAGCCAUAAUGCCUCAUUGGAUGCUUCAUAACAUGCCAUGAAUUCCGCUUCCAUGGUGGAAGUGGCCGUAAGAAUUUGCUUGAUGCUUUUCCAAGAGAUAGCACCGCCAGCAAGCAUGUAAAUAUAGCCUGAAGUAGACUUCAAACUAUCCUGACAUCCAGCAAAAUCGGAAUCAUGCUUCAUAACAUGCCAUGAAUUCCGCUUCCAUGGUGGAAGUGGCCGUAAGAGUUUGCUUAAUGCUUCUCCAAUAGAUAACACCGCCAGCAAGCAUGUAAAUAUAGCCUGAUGUAGAUUUCAGACUAUCCUGACAUCCAGCAAAAUCGGAAUCGGUGUACCCAAUGAUCUCAAGCUGGUCUGAUUUCCGAUAUGUAAGCAUGUAAUCCUUUGUUCUCUGUAAGUACCUCAUGACCCUU